rnacentral:rRNA from 1 species
AACGAACGCUGGCGGCGUGCUUAACACAUGCAAGUCGAACGUGAAAGGCUUCGGCCGAGUAAAGUGGCGCACGGGUGAGUAACGCGUGGGUAAUCUGCCCUUGGGCGGGGGAUAACCUCUCGAAAGGGGGCGUAAUACCGCAUGAGACCACGGCUUCUCGGGGCGUGUGGGAAAGGUAGGGUCGCAAGGCCUGCCACCUGAGGAUGAGCCCGCCGUACCAUUAGGUUGUUGGUGGGGUAAGUGGCCUACCAAGCCGAAGAUGGUUAGCUGGUCUGAGAGGACGAUCAGCCACACUGGGACGUGAGACACGGCCCAGA